GGACCUGCUGGCGCACCUGGAGCCCACCUGCGCCGCCAUGGAGGCCGCGGUGCGCGCGGGCGGCGCCUGCCUGGUCUACUGCAAGAACGGCCGCAGCCGCUCGGCCGCCGUCUGCACCGCCUACCUCAUGCGGCACCGCGGCCUCAGCCUGGCGCGGGCCUUCCAGGCGGUGAAGAGCGCCCGUCCGGUGGCCGAGCCCAACCCGGGUUUCUGGUCUCAGCUGCAGCAGUACGAGGCGACCCUGCAGUCCCUGCCCCAGCCGUCGCCGACCGGGGAGCCCUCGGGACAGGGCUCCCGAACCGGAGAUGAGCCCCAGAGUGAGCCCUAGACCUUCACCCCUCGCGGAGGACCCCACCCGAGCAGGGCGCAUGGAGCUGGAGGUAGUUGCAGCGCUGACUGGAGGGGGUUUUCUGCUUCUUUACUGUUGCACAGUUUUCAUUUUCUGCUUCUUCCGGACAUGCAGCUCGAGUAUUUCUGUCUCCAUGGACGGACUGCAGGAGUGUGUCCCCCGAGGGCACUGGAAGCAUCCCUUCCCUGGUCAGGUUUACCAGACAGGCCUUGGUCAGGAAAAUCAAAACCACUUGAGGACUUUUAGGCAGGAAAGUAUUCAAUCCGGAGAGCAAGGCCAGGGAGCCAGGAGAUGGGGAUGUCCCGGAGACCCACCCCGCCCCAUCCUGGCUGCCUGCCUCCUGCUCCAGCCAUCGGGCUUUCCCCAAACCUCACAGUGGUCCCUUCUAGAGUCGGGCCUGGGACCCAGACUUGUAACUACUGCAACACACAGGCCAGGAUGUGAGGCUGCCUCAUGCCAGCCUGGCAUGGGUGCCCUUGGGGCUCUCCACGCCUGUGCCUUGCUGCCCUCCCAGUCUCAACAACAGCACCCACCCCGGCUUAGCAUCCUGCAGCCCCGGUCAUGUCAGAGAUGCACCGGCCCCUGUAUGUCUGAGCGUGUUGAUUCCUCUCCUGGUCCAGACACCCCUCCCCUGCAUCCUACGGCCUAGAGACUGUACUAGAUUCAUCAGCAUCAACACCCCUUAAACAAGGUAGCAGAAGGGGAAAAAAGAGAAACUGGGUUAUACUGUGAAUUACAGGUAGUACAGCCCCUGGUUAAUAGGUACUACUCUAUACAUAACAGGGCAAUUAAUAAAAUAUCAUAAUUAGUGCUUAAUAUUUCCCGUUCUUUCCAGCCAGCACCUCGCUGAGCCUGGCCUUUCCUGGUGAGGUGACCUGAGCCACCUCCUGAAGGGCCCUGAGCAGCCCUGUGGCCUCCAGCUCCUCCACCUCCUCUCAGCCCCACUGAUCGGCAGCCACGCCCCGGGGCUCCUUGAAAGUCAGGAUCACUCACUGCACCCAGCACAGCAGCCCCGACUUGCCUGUUGCCUUAGCGGCCCGAGGGGCCCAACAUGGUCAGGGUGUCUCAGCCUGCCGUCCAGGGGAACACGCGUGUCCCCGGUAGAAGCAUCUUACCUGGGAACCGAACCUC
rnacentral:lncRNA from 1 species